rnacentral:piRNA from 1 species
UGGGCCAAGCUGUGGCAGUUUCCUUCUU